GUGCCUCAAUCUAUUGAGUAAGGAAAUUAUUGGGCCUCGGUGACUCUUGGCUAUGUCCUGCUUAUAGGGCGAAACUAUUUUUGAACGGGUAAAGGUCGUCCUUGAGCUGUAAACCUACUUUGUUUGCGGCUCGAGUGAAGCGAUCUGCCUG